GUAGUAUUCCCUCCGUCCCAAAAUUAUUGUCUUAUAUUUGUUUAGAUACAAAUGUAUCUAGCACUAAAAUGUAACUAGAUACAUCCGUAUUUAGACAAAUUUAAGACAAGAAUUUUGGGACGGAGGGAGUACAAA
rnacentral:pre_miRNA from 1 species